rnacentral:rRNA from 1 species
AUUUGGAGCGAUAUUUGGUCAAUAUCCAAAAAUAUAAAUGAUCAAUUUGUGACCUAACCUGCUUUUCAAUGCCUCAUCUCAGGCGGGUUAGUACUUGGAUGGGAGACUGCUGGGAAUACCAGGUGCCCCAAAAG